UACGUAGGGUGCGAGCGUUGUCCGGAAUUACUGGGCGUAAAGAGCUCGUAGGUGGUUUGUCGCGUUGUUCGUGAAAACUCACAGCUUAACUGUGGGCGUGCGGGCGAUACGGGCAGACUGGAGUACUGCAGGGGAGACUGGAAUUCCUGGUGUAGCGGUGAAAUGCGCAGAUAUCAGGAGGAACACCGGUGGCGAAGGCGGGUCUCUGGGCCGAUAUCGACGCUGAGGAGCGAAAGCGUGGGGAGCGAACAGG
rnacentral:rRNA from 1 species